rnacentral:rRNA from 1 species
UUGUCUCAAAGAUUAAGCCAUGCAUGUCUAAGUAUAAGCAACUAUACGGUGAAACUGCGAAUGGCUCAUUAAACCAGUUAUCGUUUAUUUGAUAGUACCUUACUACAUGGAUAACCGUGGUAAUUCUAGAGCUAAUACAUGCUAAAAACCUCGACUUCGGAAGGGGUGUAUUUAUUAGAUAAAAAACCAAUGCCCUUCGGGGCUCCUUGGUGAAUCAUAAUAACUUAACGAAUCGCAUGGCCUUGCGCCGGCGAUGGUUCAUUCAAAUUUCUGCCCUAUCAACUUUCGAUGGUAGGAUAGUGGCCUACCAUGGUAUCAACGGGUAACGGGGAAUUAGGGUUCGACUCCGGAGGGAGCCUGAGAAACGGCUACCACAUCCAAGGAAGGCAGCAGGCGCGCAAAUUACCCAAUCCCGACACGGGGAGGUAGUGACAAUAAAUACUGAUACAGGGCUCUUUUGGGUCUUGUAACUGGAAUGAGUACAAUUUAAAUCCCUUAACGAGGAACAAUCGGAGGGCAAGUCUGGUGCCAG